rfam:Candidatus Magnetobacterium bavaricum SAG4189, whole genome shotgun sequence.
GGGGCUGUAGCUCAGUUGGGAGAGCGCUUGAAUGGCAUUCAAGAGGUCGUCGGUUCGAUCCCGAUCAGCUCCA